AUGCGCACCUCUUUGUAUGCUGACGAUGCGUCAAUCUUCGUGGUGCCCGUUAAGGAGGACACACAGCAGCUCACUUCCAUCCUAGCUAAUUUUGGGGAGGUCACUGGCCUGGUGACAAACUUGGAGAAGAGCACCGUUGCGCCUAUUCGGUGUGAUGGUAUCAACCUCGACAAUGUGCUUGAGAGAUUCCUGGCCAAGCGCUCGGCCUUCCCCAUGCGAUACCUUGGCGUUCCGAUGUUGGUUUACCUACUCAGGAAGAUUGACCUACAACACUUAGUGGACAAGGCCGCAGGAAAGCUUGUGCCUUGGCAAGGCCGAUUUAUUACAGCUAUUGGGCGCACGGAGUUGGUUAAAUCUGUCCUUGUGUCCCAGGCAACCUUUCAUGCUACUGUAAUUAAGCUACCAGAGAGCACACUCGGCGCCCUCAAGAAGAUUCAGAGAGCACACUCGCCCAAUCACUCGCGGUAA
rnacentral:rRNA from 1 species